rnacentral:pre_miRNA from 1 species
UUUAAGUACAACCGUGAGUUUUUUUUUCCAAAUUUAAUUGUCUGUCUUAUUUAAUUUUUUUUGUAAAAAAUUAAAAAACAUAAGUCACGCAUAAAGUACUAUUCAUAUUUUAUCAUCUAAUAACAAUAAAAAUACUAAUCAUAAAAAAAUUUUAAAUAAGAUGGACGAUUAAAGUUGGACACGGAAACU